AUGGCUGUCGUCAGCUCGUGUCGUGAGAUGUUGGGUUAAGUCCGUAACGAGCGCAACCCUGUCCUUAGUUACCAGCACGUAUGGUGGGCACUCUAAGGAGACUGCCGGUGACAAACCGGAGGAAGGUGGGGAGUGACGUCAAGUCAUCAUGGCCCUUACGGCCUGGGCUACACACGUGCUACAAUGGUCGGUACAAAGGGUUGCCAAGCCGCGAGGUGGAGCUAAUCCCAUAAAACCGAUCGUAGUCCGGAUCGCAGUCUGCAACUCGACUGCGUGAAGUCGGAAUCGCUAGUAAUCGUGAAUCAGAAUGUCACGGUGAAUACGUUCCCGGGCCUU
rnacentral:rRNA from 1 species